CAGAGGCAUGGUUGGAAUUGUGCUUCAAUCUCAAUGCUGCGUCUAACAGACUCCUUGCUAAGCGUAUCAGCUUCACUGAUAAAACACUCACAUUUCUGAGGGCUCAUUCUUUGCCGUUGUCUAUAGGAGCCACUUGCUGAGGUAAAGGAGGAUACAGAGACUUCAAAGGAGCGUCCCAACCCUAGUCCAGAGGCAGAGGAGGUCAAAAGCCCCAAAAUUGCAGAGGAAAGCAGUCACAUUCAGGAAAACCAAGAGGGAGAGAGUCAAACAGAAGAGAAUCCAGUUAUGAACUUCUUCAAAACACUAGUGACUCCCACAAAAAAAAACAAGCAAGAAACAGCCACCCCUGCUGUUGCAAAAGACCAGAAAGAGGCCCAACCAACAACAACAACUACUGCUGCACAACUAGUGGAUGCUCCAGCAACAGCCAAAGGAGGAAUGUCAAUCCCACCAGCCCCAGCCCCAGCCCCAUCCCCAGCCCCAGCCCCAGCCCCAGCCCCAGCCCCAGCCCCAGCCCCAUCCCCAGCCCCAGCCCCAGCCCCAGCCCCAGCCCCAGCCCUAGGCUCAUGUAAGAUGGAGGUUAAAGCAGAACUAGCUGCCCAAUCUGUGACCAACACACCAAACGAAGAACCAAAGGGUGCUGCCAAAGAACCAGAGGCCGCCAAGCCGAAAUCUGACCGCCCGUUCAGCAGACUUUUCAGCAGAAAGGCACUGAUAGGCCUCAAGUCUAAAAUCAAGGUUAAGUCAACAAGUGGAGCCAGAGCCCCUGCCAAGCCUGCUGCAGCGACAGUGGAACCAGUGGAGCCACAACCGGUUGUGGAAGUACAGAAUGUAGACUUCUCAAAGACGGCCACUCUGGAGGCCUCUGCCACACUAGAACCACCACCACCAGAGGAAGAGAAGACACCUGCUGCCUCCAAAGCCUCUCCUUUCACUUCCUUUUCUCUUUUCAAGACAAAGGCAGCUGUGCCAAAAAAGGAAGUCCCUGCCCUAGCUGCAGAAGCGGUAGUUGAACCAAGUGUAGCCAAGGACGAACCAAAGGCCCCAGAGGACCCUGCUGUGGACAGCAAGCCCGUGUCAGAGCCCUCCGAGGUUAUGGAGAAUUCCCCCGUCCUCCCUAAGAGACUGGAGAAGAGGAACUCCAUCCACUUGUUCUUCAAAAACCUGGGCAAACGCCAGUCAGAUGCAGGAGUACAAACAGAACCAGAGAAGACCAAAUAAAACAGAAACACCCUUUCAAACAUCACAUGCCAUAUCUGGAAAUGAACUUUUGAUUUGUUAGAUACAUUAUGUUUCUGAUCACACUAUUGAUGUGGUAAGAGCAAGUGGUUUGAGGGAGAGAGGUGGACUGUGGACUAGUCUGUUCUAGUCUAAUCUUUGUGGACAAUUUCAGAGAAUUGUUCUUUGUGGAGGAGGUAAAUAUAUUUUCUGGUUUUAAAGGCUUGAUAGGUAGAGAAAAGUGGUUUUGUAACAUAUACUGAGAGCAAAAUCAAUUUUCUAUACAGUAUGUACCCUUCUUUUAACAUACAUGUCAAACUCAUUCCACGGAGGGCUGAGUGUCUGCUGGUUUUUGUUCCUCCCUUGAUUGAUUAAUUAAGGUCACUAAUUAGUAAAGAACUCCCCUCACCUGGUUGUCUAAGGUCUUAAAAACGAAACACUCGCAGACACUAAGCCCUUCAUGGAAUGAGUUUGACAUCCCUGCUUUAACAUAUUAAUGUGUAAGGAUCUAAUGCAAAUAUUACGUUUAGCAUAUUUUUUUCCCUCUAUACGCAAUUUACUAGUCUGAAAAUAACUUGUGGAGUGCAUACAAUGGUUUCAGAUACAUUCAUAGGACGUCUUGGAGAAGAGAUGCAUAAAGCUUAGCUUGGAAUAGAGAGAUAGUAAUGGAAUAUACUCCAAAUGUAAUGGAGGAGUUGGUGAAAUGGUGGAUAUUCCUGCCAAGAUGUUUUUAUUUAGGCUAGACACAUGCAACUUACAAUGUAGGCUUUAAACUUUGCAGGAACUGUACACGGAUGCAAAUAUAUGCCAAACACUAAAUUACAAUAUAUGAUUAUAAUCAUACACAGGGGGACCUCACAAUCAUUACUUUUUUUGGGAACUACACAGAUCAUCUGGUAGUCUAUAUAGCUAACUGCACAGUCAUGAAUCAUAUUUGAUUAACGUUUCACUGAAGUAUAAAGGUUUGUUCUAAUUUGAGUGCACUGCUUUACAUGUGUGUGCCUGUUUGAAUGCAGAUGUUAUAAUCUUGGGUAUCUUGUCUGUUAAUUUCUGCACCUAUAAUUUGAUAAACUGGAUCUGGAAGUAGAAUAUUUAUUGUGACAGCAAUUUCCGAAUCAUGACAACCUGCAAUGGGGUAUAUGGGGGGGUUCUACUGAGCUAACAUGGAUUUUUUUUUAAAGAUCAUACCAUGGAUCCUUUAGCUAUUUAAUUUUUCAUUGGGGUAAAAUAUUGAAUUUGGCCUUUUAAUGCUACAACCUAUAGAAAUGCAUUGAAUAACACACUCAUAAAUGGCAAAACAGAGUACAAAAAUAAAUAAUAAGGAAUAUGUUUUUGAAUUGUCUGUCCUACAUCUAGGAGAUGUAAUAAAGUUCAGGAUUUACACAUUUAACCCAUUUUUUGGGGUGUCACAAAACUACUUCUAUAUUUGUUUUUAUGUUAAUUAGAUUGACGCACGGGUGCGUUGAUCAACUUUAGGGGUAUUUAAAGCUAUUUUUUUCUGUAACUGUUAAGAGAAUAAAUGUAUACAAUUAUA
ensembl:lncRNA